rfam:Cariama cristata contig87610, whole genome shotgun sequence.
CCAAAGGCUCUUUUCAGAGCCACCCACGCAGUCAGAAAAGAGUUGU